AGCGCCAGGGAAUUACGAGCAAUGCUUAAAACCCAAAGGAUUUGACGGUAUCCCAUCCACCUAGAGGAGCCUGUUCUAUAAUCGAUAACCCCCGCUACACCCAACCACCCCUAGCUUAUCAGCCUGUAUACCUCCGUCGAAAGCCUACCAUGUGAAUGUUUUCAGUAAGCCCAAUGACCCCCAUCAAAACGUCAGGUCAAGGUGCAGCUCACGGAGUGGAAAGCAAUGGGCUACAGUUUCUAAACUAGAACAUACGAAAAAUUAGGUGAAACCCUAGUCAUGAAGGCGGAUUUAGUAGUAAAAAGAAAAUAGAGUGUUCUUUUUAACUUGGCCCUGGGAUGUGUACACACCGCCCGUCACCCUCUUCGACUAUUAUCAAGACUGCUCCCUAACUCCAUCCCCACACCCCCUAGAAGAGGUAAGUCGUAACACGGUAAGUGUACUGGAAAGUGCACUUGGCUAAUAA
rnacentral:rRNA from 1 species